rnacentral:pre_miRNA from 1 species
CAUCUACUUCUUCCGUUCCGAAUUAUUUGUCGCAGAUACGGAUGUAUCUAGAUGUAUUUUAGUUUUAGAUACAUCUAUUUUUAUGACGAAUAAUUUGGAGCGAAGGAAGUAGGCG